rnacentral:rRNA from 1 species
GACGAACGCUGGCGGCGUGCUUAACACAUGCAAGUCGAACGGAAAGGCCCUGCUUUUGUGGGGUGCUCGAGUGGCGAACGGGUGAGUAACACGUGAGUAACCUGCCCUUGACUUUGGGAUAACUUCAGGAAACUGGGGCUAAUACCGGAUAGGAGCUCCUGCUGCAUGGUGGGGGUUGGAAAGUUUCGGCGGUUGGGGAUGGACUCGCGGCUUAUCAGCUUGUUGGUGGGGUAGUGGCUUACCAAGGCUUUGACGGGUAGCCGGCCUGAGAGGGUGACCGGCCACAUUGGGCCUGAGAUACGGCCCAGACUCCUACGGGAGGCAGCAGUGGGGAAUAUUGCACAAUGGGCGGAAGCCUGAUGCAGCAACGCCGCGUGCGGGAUGACGGCCUUCGGGUUGUAAACCGCUUUCGCCUGUGACGAAGCGUGAGUGACGGUAAUGAGUAAAGAAGCACCGGCUAACUACGUG